rnacentral:rRNA from 1 species
UUAGAGUUUGAUCAUGGCUCAGGAUGAACGCUGGCGGCGUGCUUAACACAUGCAAGUCGAACGAACCUUCGGGUUAGUGGCGGACGGGUGAGUAACGCGUGAGAAUCUGCCCUCAGGAGGGGGAUAACGGCUGGAAACGGCCGCUAAUACCCCAUAUGCCGAGAGGUGAAAUGAAUUUCGCCUGAGGAUGAGCCCGCGUCUGAUUAGCUUGUUGGUGAGGUAAUGGCUCACCAAGGCUUCGAUCAGUAGCUGGUCUGAGAGGAUGAUCAGCCACACUGGGACUGAGACACGGCCCAGACUCCUACGGGAGGCAGCAGUGGGGAAUUUUCCGCAAUGGGCGAAAGCCUGACGGAGCAACGCCGCGUGAGGGAUGAAGGCCUCUGGGCUGUAAACCUCUUUUCUCAAGGAAGAAGAUCUGACGGUACUUGAGGAAUAAGCCACGGCUAAUUCCGUGCCAGCAGCCGCGGUAAUACGGGAGUGGCAAGCGUUAUCCGGAAUUAUUGGGCGUAAAGCGUCCGCAGGCGGCCCUUCAAGUCUGCUGUUAAAGCGUGGAGCUUAACUCCAUCAUGGCAGUGGAAACUGUUGGGCUUGAGUGUGGUAGGGGCAGAGGGAAUUCCCGGUGUAGCGGUGAAAUGCGUAGAUAUCGGGAAGAACACCAGUGGCGAAGGCGCUCUGCUGGGCCAUCACUGACGCUCGUGGACGAACGCCAGGGGAGCGAAAGGGAUUAGAUACCCCUGUAGUCCUGGCCGUAAACGAUGAACACUAGGUGUCGGGGGAAUCGACCCCCUCGGUGUCGUAGCCAACGCGUUAAGUGUUCCGCCUGGGGAGUACGCACGCAAGUGUGAAACUCAAAGGAAUUGACGGGGGCCCGCACAAGCGGUGGAGUAUGUGGUUUAAUUCGAUGCAACGCGAAGAACCUUACCAGGGUUUGACAUCCUGCGAACCUCUUGGAAACAGGAGGGUGCCUUCGGGAACGCAGUGACAGGUGGUGCAUGGCUGUCGUCAGCUCGUGUCGUGAGAUGUUGGGUUAAGUCCCGCAACGAGCGCAACCCACGUCUUUAGUUGCCAGCAUUUAGUUGGGCACUCUAGAGAGACCGCCGGUGAUAAACCGGAGGAAGGUGUGGAUGACGUCAAGUCAUCAUGCCCCUUACAUCCUGGGCUACACACGUACUACAAUGCUACGGACAAAGGGCAGCAAGUUCGCGAGGACAAGCAAAUCCCAUAAACCGUGGCUCAGUUCAGAUCGUAGGCUGCAACUCGCCUACGUGAAGGAGGAAUCGCUAGUAAUCGCAGGUCAGCAUACUGCGGUGAAUACGUUCCCGGGCCUUGAGACACCGCCCGU